CCCUUAGAUGUCCGGGGCUGCACGCGCGCUACACUGAUGCAUUCAACGAGCCUAUCCUUGACCGACAGGUCCGGGUAAUCUUUGAAUCUGCAUCGUGACGGGGAUAGAUUAUUGCAAUUAUUAAUCUUCAACGAGGAAUGCCUAGUAGGCGCAAGUCAUCAGCUUGCGUCGAUUGCGUCCCUGCCCUUUGUACACACCGCCCGUCGCUCCUACCGAUUGGGUGUGCUGGUGAAAUGUUCGGAUCGGCCGUUUGUCGCGGUUUCCGCGGCUCGUGGCUGAGAAGUUCAUUAAACCCUCCCACCUAGAGGAAGGAGAAGUCGUAACA
rnacentral:rRNA from 1 species